AGCUAGGGUUGAUUUUCUGAUACUUCAGAGUUCUCUGUUCCCGAUGAACGUUCUUUUGGGUCAUCCACUUGCUGGAACCUAAAACCCUGUGACCUGUGCGGACAGUGGAGCAAGCUGUAUGAUUAUAGCUUAGAGUCGGGUUGCUUCAAAGUGCAGCCUAAAGUGGGUGAUAAACUUCAUCUAAGGCUAAAUAUAGACGCGAAUUCGAUAGCAAACAAGUACUGUAAAG
rnacentral:ncRNA from 1 species